rnacentral:misc_RNA from 1 species
GAUGAAGAACGUAGCGAAAUGCGAUAAGUAAUGUGAAUUGCAGAAUUCAGUGAAUCAUCGAAUCUUUGAACGCACCUUGCGCCCUUUGGCCAUUCCGAAGGGCAUGCCUGUUUGAGUAUCAUGAACACCUCAACUCUUUAUGGUUCUCCAUGAUGAGCUUGGACUCUGGGGGUUUUGCUGGCUCACAGUCGGCUCCUCUAAAAUGAAUCAGCUUACCAGUGUUUGGUGGGUAUCAUGGGUGUGAUAACUAUCUACGCUUGUGGUUUUUCCACCAGGUAACCUUCAGCAGUGGAGGUUCGCUGGAGCUCAUAGAUGUCUCUCCUCAGUGAGGACAGCCCUUUGAAUGUUUGAUCUCAAAUCAGGUAGGACUACCCGCUGAACUUAAGCAUAUCAAUAAGCGGAGGA